rnacentral:rRNA from 1 species
UUUUUUAAUUGGGGACUGGAAUGAAAGAUUAAAACUGAAGGGAGUGUUUUAUUUAAUAAUUUUGAAAUUUAAUUAAAAGUAAAAAUGCUUUUGUGAAAUUUUGGGACGAGAAGACCCUAGAAGCUUUUAUAUUAUUUUAUAUAAUUUUAUUGUAUAAUUAAAUAUAUUAAUUGGGGUAAUUUUUGAAGAAAAAGUAUUUUUAUUAAAAAGAAGAAGAAAAAUUUAAUAGUUACUCUAGGGAUAACAGAGUAAUUUAAUUUAAGAGUUCUUAUUAAUAAUUAAGUUUGCUACCUCGAUGUUGAAUUAAAAUGGAAUUUUUAGUGAAGGAGCUUUAUAUAUUUAGUCUGUUCGACUAUUGAAAUUUUACGUGAUCUGA